UUGAAAGGGAAACGAUUGAAGUCAGUCGUGCUGGCGCGAAAUCAACCUUCUCGUCUUGAGAUCACAUGGCGUGGCGAGCCUCAAAACCGUCACGAAGCGUGAACUCUUGGUGAAAUGGAGCACUUUCGUGUCCGCUGGUUAACAUCAAUUUCGAACGUCAUAAAAAGGCUGGAGGGAUGUGGCUCCUUCGGGAGUGUUAUAACCUUUAGCGGAAUGUGGUAUUCGGGAUUGAGGAUUGCAACGAAUACCUUUAGGGCUGUUCCACCUGGCUUCUCUUUGGUAUCCUGGUGACGACAGCUUGCUGACGUCGUUAGGAUCCGCCUUUGAACAGGUUAGAGUGUGAGCAAAUUCGUUAAGGAUGUUGACGUA
rnacentral:rRNA from 1 species